rnacentral:rRNA from 1 species
AUUGAACGCUGGCGGCAUGCUUUACACAUGCAAGUCGAACGGCAGCGCGGGCUUCGGCCUGGCGGCGAGUGGCGAACGGGUGAGUAAUACAUCGGGACGUGCCCAGUAGUGGGGGAUAGCUCGGCGAAAGCCGGAUUAAUACCGCAUACGACCUGAGGGUGAAAGCGGGGGAUCUUCGGACCUCGCGCUAUUGGAGCGGCCGAUGGCAGAUUAGCUAGUUGGUGGGGUAAAGGCCUACCAAGGCGACGAUCUGUAGCUGGUCUGAGAGGACGACCAGCCACACUGGGACUGAGACACGGCCCAGACUCCUACGGGAGGUAGCAGUGGGGAAUUUUGGACAAUGGGCGAAAGCCUGAUCCAGCAAUGCCGCGUGUGUGAUGAAGGCCUUCGGGUUGUAAAGCACUUUUGGCGGGAACGAAAAGGACUGUGCCAAUACCACGGUUCGAUGACGGUACCCGCAGAAUAAGCACCGGCUAACUACGUG